GGCGCAUCAAGCCGCAGCUCGCACGCUUUCCUCCAGCCCCCCAAUCACGUGCUUGAUCAACCUCUCUCUGUCCUCACCCUACCCUACGCCCAUCUUCUCCCCAUGCAAACUGCGUAUCCUUUCCUCCCCCACAACUAGAAGGACCCUGCAAAUCUGCAAUGGUUUGGCACGUUGGAGGUUAAAAACUGAAAAAAGGAAUCUACCAAUCUUCAGACAAAGGAAGAAGAGAUAGGAGGAGUUCAACAGUGAGCCUGGUAUACCAAUGUAUUCGGCUAGACCAGAUCAAGCAGUACAGGUGCUUAAGCAUGUGUAUAACGCUGCACCAAAAAAACUCAAAGGAAAGGAGCUUGAGCUUCUUUUGGUAAUCCUCCCUGACAACAAUGGCUCGUUGUAUGGUGACAUAAAGCGCAUUUGUGAAGCCAAAUUGGGAUUAAUAUCACAGUGCUGUUUAGCAAAGCAUGUAUUUAGCGCAAGGAGCUACUGAAGGUGAUGGAGUCAUUAGCCUUGUAGCACAAAACUAUUGGGUGUUGACUACAUUGUUUAUAAGGUGGUAAGGCGACCUAAGGCGAGCACCAGCCCUCCUGGUGCCUAAGCGCUUAAAGCGGG